UACCGGCACCCCGAGUGGUCGGGACGAUUAUUGGGCCUAAAGCAUCCGUAGCCGGUCCUGCAAGUCUUCCGUUAAAUCCAGCUGCUCAACAGAUGGGCUGCGGGGGAUACUACAGGGCUAGGAGGCGGGAGAGGCAAGCGGUACUUUAUGGGUAGGGGUAAAAUCCGUUGAUCCAUAGAAGACCACCAGUGGCGAAGGCGGCUUGCCAGAACGCGCUCGACGGUGAGGGAUGAAAGCUGGGGGAGCAAACCGG
rnacentral:rRNA from 1 species